rfam:Dictyostelium discoideum AX4 chromosome 6, whole genome shotgun sequence.
UCCUCUUUGGUGUAGUCGGUAACACUCUAGUCUCUCACACUGGUACCCCGGGUUCGAUUCCCGGAAGGGGAG